UACGAACUGUGCGAACGUUAUUCGGAAUCACUGGGCUUACAGGGUGCGUAGGCGGCUUAGCAAGUCGGAUGUGAAAUCUCAGGGCUCAACCCUGAAACUGCAUUCGAUACUGCGUGGCUAGAGUGCUGGAGAGGAGACUGGAAUUUACGGUGUAGCAGUGAAAUGCGUAGAUAUCGUAAGGAAGACCAGUGGCGAAGGCGAGUCUCUGGACAGCAACUGACGCUGAGGCACGAAGGCCAGGGGAGCAAACGGG
rnacentral:rRNA from 1 species